CCUACGUGCGUACAAUGAAAAUUUAGGAGAGUUUAGACUUCCCCAGAGAAGUUGCAAACAAAGAAGUCAACGCCCAUUUUCAUUUUAAAAAGGCAUCUUGUGUAUUAUUGACAAGAUCUAUUGGCCACAUCCCAUGACCCACUUCCUCAGAAAUAAGAAUGUACAUGUCAUGGUAUGAACACUGCUUUGCUGAUUUUUGUAUCAGAGCCUGUGCAUUUGGUAAAUGUCAACCAAAGAGACCCCCUGUGGGAAGUAGAUUCUGGAAUGUCACCGAGAGAUUGCACUGGAGGGGAAGUAGAGCAAGGGGACACUGCCUCCCAGAUGGACACACAAUCCCCACACCUCGGCGGGCCAGUGUUUCCACGUUGCAUGCAGAGCAAGCUUAGCUGUGCUAACUGCUUUGUGAAAGGAAAAUCCUCCUGAAAUUAAAUAAUCAAAGAAGAUAGAAGAGAAUAGAAGGAGACACCAGGGCUACUGCGUCUCUUCUGCAUUGUGCACCUGAAUGGCUUGGGGGAGAAGCAUGCUUCAUCAUACUAAUUUGGAAUUCCUGAAGGAAAACCAUAUCUCAGUGUUCAUUCAGCGUAUAUAGCUGCUCAAUGUAAAUACAGAUUGCUGGGUUCUUUCCCCAUUCUUCUCAUCCUGCAGCAAAAGAAAAAAAAAAGCACAAACUGUUGUUCUUCCAGUUAAAUC